UACGGGGGGGGGUAAGCGUUGUUCGGAAUUACUGGGCGUAAAGGGCUCGUAGGCGGCCAACUAAGUCGGACGUGAAAUCCCUCAGCUUAACUGGGGAACUGCGUCCGAUACUGGAUGGCUUGGAUUUGGGAGAGGGAUGCGGAAUUCCAGGUGUAGCGGUGAAAUGCGUAGAUAUCUGGAGGAACACCGGUGGCGAAGGCGGCUUUCUGGUCUGUAACUGACGCUGAGGCGCGAAAGCGUGGGGAGCAAACAGG
rnacentral:rRNA from 1 species